AGCAAAACAAAAUAAAAAGUGAAAAAUGUCCUGCAUCUCAUUUUUCUUAUUAAAAAAAAAAAAGGGAUUUAACCACGUGAUAUGGUGAUAGUAUUUCCCUAACUAAAAAUGAGUAUACAUGGUCUGGUAGAUUUUUUUUUUUCAAUGUAAAUUGACAUGAAAAUUCCUCGAGGAAUAAAAGUUAAAUGAUUUUAGUUAAAAUAGUUACCAAAACACUUAGUAAGAAUGGUUAUUACAAAUUAGGCUAUAUUGGACAAGCAAGGUCUUAGAGUCACUGAAUCUCUUAAGAGUCAUCUAAUUCUACUUUUUCAUGUAAGAGUUAAAUAUUGCCAAUAUAGAGAUGCUAGAUGACCAAACACCCUGUACUAAAAUCUAAAAUAGUAAAUGUUACCCAAAAAUGUCAUAAUUGUUUAAUAAACUGGAACAUUUUCCCCCCACAUAAUUUUGUCAAUUUAAAUAGAUAUAGAACUGCCAAGACUUUUUUUAAAAAAAGCACAAAUUCUUGCCCUGGCCAGGUGGGUCAGUUGGUUUGAGUAUUGUCCCAUACACCAAAAGGUCACAAGUUCAAUUCCCAGUCAGGACACAUAACUAGGUUGUGAAUUCAAUAGGGGAAUGUGCAGGAGGCAACCAACGGAUGUUUCUCUCUCACAUCAAUGUUUUUCUUUCUCUCUCUCUAAAAUCAAUAAAAACACAUUCUUGGGGUGAGGAUUAAAAGAAAAAAGCAAGAAACAUGCUCAUUCAAAACAUGACUGAUAGCAAAAAAAAAAAAAAAAGAAGUUUGAUGGCAGAUGCCUCAGUUUUCUCAGGGCCCAACAGGGAUAUCACUACCUCAGAAAAACUCUAACAAGAAGUAAACGAGGAGACACAUUGGACGCAAAGUUGUUGUAAGUAAUAGUUCUUGUUUUCUUUUCUAAGAAAUCAGGCAUUUACUGUUUUCCCUGACUCAGGUAUCCCACUUUAUUAACAAUAAUUUUUCUUAAGUUAAAAAAAAUACAGAGAAGCAAAAGAAGACAGUAAAUACAGCAUGCAAUCUUUCCAUCAAAAAUGACUUAAUAUAUCAUUUAAUCUACGUGAUUCCAAUAUUUCUCUGUGUACACAGAAACACAAAUGUGAAUAACAAUUUGUAAUCUGCCUUUUCCACUACUUGGAAAAGUAGUAGAAAAUUUGUGCCAUGUAUUUCUUACUUGUGCCAUGUAUCAGGGCAGAAACUUGGCUUGUUUACAUUAACAUCUGGCAUUAACUGGAUGCUCAAUAAGUACUUCUAAGAAAAAUGGGGGGUCGUUUAAUGUCCAGAGUGAGGCUGAUUUAAAUACUAUUUGAUAACAUUUCAGUAGGAGCUUAUGCAUAACCACAGAAAAAAACUUUUCAACAGAGACUAAAAACAGUGUUCUAGUAUUCCUUCCAUCAUCCUACCAAGGAAAACAACACAACACAUUCUUUGUCACUGAAUUCAGGCUCCAACAGACAAAAAAAGUAGACUGAACUGUUCAGGCCCUCAGGGAGCUUCCUGGUAGAAAAACUGAGGCCAGAGGAAUAAAUAGCUUACCCCAAGUUAUAGUGAGAAGCCAGUCAUCAACCUUUCCUAUCAAAAAUGUAUUUUUUGUCAAUGUUUUCUAGAUUACACGCUCCCAGUCACUAGUAAUUAAAUCAAUAGCCAUUAUCUUUUUUAAAAUGAUAAUAAAUACUUUUUAAAAACCAUUACAUUUUUCAAACAAUAAUAAAAUACUGAAAAACAAUGGUUGUUCACUGUGUCACCAUGCUGGGGCUUUUUUAAAUUCUAAGUUUCUAAUUUUGUUAAAAGUAUAAAAUAAGAUAUUCUCCCUAACUGGUUUACUUACUUCCUCCACUUCCUCUUUUCGUGGCUAAAAAUACCAAAAUUCCAUUCAUAGCUUCAUGUAAAAAAAUUCUUAAAAGUUUGCUUUCUAUCAUCAUAACUAGACUUAAAAAGUCUCUUUACUGGUAGCUAAAAUGGUAACUUUUAACAAUCAAAUGAUCGGGACUUUGGGUUCAUUACUGUCAGCAUGAAGACGCUUAUGUGAAUGUUGUGCGACAGAGAGGCUCAAAAGAUAAUCAGGACUCUCAUUUCCAGCACGAGGUGGUAUCAGUACCUGACUGGUCCCUCUCACAGAUAACAACUACAAUUUUUAGACAAAGUAGAGGGGAAAAACAUUAUUUUAAAUACAUCAAUGAGUCAGUAAAACAGUAAGGACUAUUGAGGACUAUUCAAAAUGAAUGAAGAGAGCAUCUCAAAGGAAUACAUAAGGACAGUUGCUAAACCAGAUGAACUUGAGCUUCAACCUUCACAGCCUAGUGUGGCUGGUGAGAGCGGAGGGAGAGUAGUGAGAAGAAACACCCAGGAUCCACCAAAAGUGAGGCGUCUAAGACCUCUCCUCUGUAAAGCUACAAUCCCAAAGUGUUAUAUGCCCAGUGUAAGGCUGACUUAGAAAUAUACCUCUACCUCCAGGAGCAAUGCAAGGGAAAACACCUGUCUUGAACCUUGUCUUUCCCACUAAGUGGGAGAGAACAGAAGAUACUCUCAAGAGGUUUCAUAACCCAAAUUAGCCCUUAUAUUUUUAGCCCUAAUUCACACUAAGUAGUCUGAGAUUUUAUUUUCACAGGGUCCCAGAGUUGCACGGUGUAUAUAGUACAGGUACCUGGUAGAAGCAAAUGCAAAUAACCUCUAGGAGAAUCCCUUUUCUUCCUAGGCCUCAAAACAGUCCCACAGUUCCAAGAAAAGUGAGAUCACAGAUGGAAAUCAUAAAACAUCCAAAGAAACAAAAAGCAUCAAAAGUAAAAACCAGCAGAAACAACAGAUAACAAAGUCAGACGUCAAAGACUUCACUUACAGAAAUAAAAGUUGAAAACAUGACUAAAGAGUAAUACAGUAAAAAAAAAAAAA